CUACGGGUUGCUGCAGUUAGGAAUUUUGCGCAAUGGGGGAAACCCUAACGCAGCAACGCCGCGUGGGUGAGGAAGGCCUUCGGGUUGUAAAGCCCUUUCGAUAGGGAAGAAAAAAAUGACGGUACCUAUAGAAGAAGCACCGGCUAACUCCGUGCCAGCAGCCGCGGUAAUACGUGAGGGUGCAAGCGUUAAUCGGAAUUACUGGGCGUAAAGCGCGCGUAGGCGGCUAGAUCAGUCGGGUGUGAAAGCCCCGGGCUUAACCUGGGAACUGCAUCCGAUACUGUCUAGCUUGAGUACAGGGAGGAGAGUGGAAUUCCACAUGUAGCGGUGAAAUGCGUAGAUAUGUGGAGGAACACCAAUGGCGAAGGCAGCUCUCUGGCCUGAUACUGACGCUGAGGUGCGAAAGCGUGGGGAGCAAACAGGAUUAGAUACCCUUGUAGUC
rnacentral:rRNA from 1 species